rnacentral:lncRNA from 1 species
GUGGAAAACUGGAGAUACCGGCCAGCCCUCACAUCGCCACUCCGAGCCGCGGGGCCGCCAGCACCCGGAACGAGCAGCCAAGGCUGGGUCGGCCUGACGGCGACGCCGGAGGCAAAGCCGCAGCUCGCCGGAGCCGGCUCAGGACCAGCCGACCCUGGCAAAGUGGACCAAGGGCACGGCAGCCCGGCGACGGCGCCCGGGGCAGCGGUGCAGCCAGCCCGCGCGGUGGGGCGAGUCACGGCCGACGAGGAGCGCCCGGGGUGGGGACGUACGGGGCGGGGGUGCCGAGGGCCUGAGGCGACCCCGCCCUGGACCAGCUCAGCUCGACGGUGGUGUCACGUGGGCCUCCUCCCGACGGCGAACUGGGGAGGGGGCGAGGCUGGCCGUGGCGCCGCCGUAUAUAAAGCGUGUGCUCGGCGGAUCGAGAGGGUGGUCUCCAGUCACCACUACUAGAGAGGGAUUCGUCUCCAGUGGGGAGGCUCCAGUCGGAGACUCCAGCAGGGAGUCUACAGUUCCAGUUCCAGUCUCGGGUCACCAGACUCCAGGCGCAGUCUCCGGUCAUCUCGACCGGUCGGCCGAGACCCCGACGGCCGCUGGGCGCUCGCAGUGAUUGUGUCUGGCGUGCACAGUGUCAGGGACAGUGCUUGAGAUAACGCAGAUCUACCUCAUUCCCUCCCCCUAUGGCGACAAUCAUUUGUUCUUCAUAUUGGUGGAAGGGAUGUGGAAAACUGGAGAUACCGGCCAGCCCUCACAUCGCCACUCCGAGCCGCGGGGCCGCCAGCACCCGGAACGAGCAGCCAAGGCUGGGUCGGCCUGACGGCGACGCCGGAGGCAAAGCCGCAGCUCGCCGGAGCCGGCUCAGGACCAGCCGACCCUGGCAAAGUGGACCAAGGGCACGGCAGCCCGGCGACGGCGCCCGGGGCAGCGGUGCAGCCAGCCCGCGCGGUGGGGCGAGUCACGGCCGACGAGGAGCGCCCGGGGUGGGGACGUACGGGGCGGGGGUGCCGAGGGCCUGAGGCGACCCCGCCCUGGACCAGCUCAGCUCGACGGUGGUGUCACGUGGGCCUCCUCCCGACGGCGAACUGGGGAGGGGGCGAGGCUGGCCGUGGCGCCGCCGUAUAUAAAGCGUGUGCUCGGCGGAUCGAGAGGGUGGUCUCCAGUCACCACUACUAGAGAGGGAGUCGUCUCCAGUGGGGAGGCUCCAGUCGGAGACUCCAGCAGGGAGUCUACAGUUCCAGUUCCAGUCUCGGGUCACCAGACUCCAGGCGCAGUCUCCGGUCAUCUCGACCGGUCGGCCGAGACCCCGACGGCCGCUGGGCGCUCGCAGUGAUUGUGUCUGGCGUGCACAGUGUCAGGGACAGUGCUUGAGAUGUAAGUACACGGGCUCAACCAGCCGCGCUGGCUAUGGCGCGCUGGUUGGGAUUAGAGGAGAGUAGUGGAGAGGAGAGUAUGAGAUCAGUAGUGAGUGUGGAUCUGUGUUUCCCUAUCCUCAAUAAUAACACCUCUAUGU